rnacentral:rRNA from 1 species
GACGAACGCUGGCGGCGUGCCUAAUACAUGCAAGUAGAACGCUGAAGGAGGAGCUUGCUCUUCUGGAUGAGUUGCGAACGGGUGAGUAACGCGUAGGUAACCUGCCUGGUAGCGGGGGAUAACUAUUGGAAACGAUAGCUAAUACCGCAUAACAUUGACUAUUGCAUGAUAGUCAAUUAAAAGGUGCAAAUGCACCACUACCAGAUGGACCUGCGUUGUAUUAGCUAGUUGGUGGGGUAACGGCUCACCAAGGCGACGAUACAUAGCCGACCUGAGAGGGUGAUUGGCCACACUGGGACUGAGACACGGCCCAGACUCCUACGGGAGGCAGCAGUAGGGAAUCUUCGGCAAUGGACGGAAGUCUGACCGAGCAACGCCGCGUGAGUGAAGAAGGUUUUCGGAUCGAAGCUCUGUUGUAAGAGAAGAAACGAGUGUGAGAAGUGGAAAG